GACAUACUCCCUCCAUUCGGAAUUACUUAUCGCAGAAAUGGAUGUAUCUAGACGUAUUUUAGUUCUAGAUACAUCCAUAUCUGAGACAAGUAAUUCUGAACAGAGGGAGUACUUU
rfam:Triticum urartu cultivar G1812 contig1139907, whole genome shotgun sequence.